rnacentral:rRNA from 1 species
GUGUCAGCCGCCGCGGUAAUACGUAGGUGGCAAGCGUUGUCCGGAUUUAUUGGGUUUAAAGGGUGCGUAGGCGGUCCUAUAAGUCAGUGCUGAAAUAUCCCGGCUUAACCGGGAGGGUGGCAUUGAUACUGCAGGACUUGAGUGAAGUCGAGGUAGGCGGAAUUGACGGUGUAGCGGUGAAAUGCUUAGAUAUCGUCAAGAACACCGAUAGUGAAGACAGCUUACUAGACUUCAACUGACGCUGAGGCACGAAAGUGUGGGGAUCAAACAGGAUUAGAAACCCUCGUAGUCC